GGGCCCGCACAAGCGGUGGAGCAUGUGGUUUAAUUCGAUGCAACGCGAAGAACCUUACCUACCCUUGACAUACAGUGAAUUCUGCAGAGAUGCGGGAGUGCCUUCGGGAACACUGAUACAGGUGCUGCA
rnacentral:rRNA from 1 species